UUACGGCCAUAUCACGUUGAAACAUUCGUUUUCGUGCGAUCACCGAAGUUAAGCAACGUCGACCCUAGUCAGUACCUAGAUGGGUCACCGCUUGGGAAUACUAGGUAUU